GACGAACGCUGGCGGCGUGCUUAACACAUGCAAGUCGAACGGAAAGGCCCUGCUUUUGUGGGGUGCUCGAGUGGCGAACGGGUGAGUAACACGUGAGUAACCUGCCCUUGACUUUGGGAUAACUUCAGGAAACUGGGGCUAAUACCGGAUAGGAGCUCCUGCUGCAUGGUGGGGGUUGGAAAGUUUCGGCGGUUGGGGAUGGACUCGCGGCUUAUCAGCUUGUUGGUGGGGUAGUGGCUUACCAAGGCUUUGACGGGUAGCCGGCCUGAGAGGGUGACCGGCCACAUGGGGACUGAGAUACGGCCCAGACUCCUACGGGAGGCAGGAGUGGGGAAUAUUGCACAAUGGGCGGAAGCCUGAUGCAGCAACGCCGCGUGCGGGAUGAAGGCCUUCGGGUUGUAAACCGCUUUCGCCUGUGACGAAGCGUGAGUGACGGUAAUGGGUAAAGAAGCACCGGCUAACUACGU
rnacentral:rRNA from 1 species